rnacentral:rRNA from 1 species
GAUGAACGCUGGCGGCGUGCCUAAUACAUGCAAGUCGAGCGAACAGACGAGGAGUUUGCUCCUUUGACGUUAGCGGCGGACGGGUGAGUAACACGUGGGUAACCUACCUAUAAGACUGGGAUAACUUCGGGAAACCGGAGCUAAUACCGGAUAAUAUUUCGCACCGCAUGGUUCGAUAGUGAAAGAUGGCUCUGCUAUCACUUAUAGAUGGACCUGCGCCGUAUUAGCUAGUUGGGAAGGUAACGGAUUACCAAGGCAACGAUACGUAGCCGACCUGAGAGGGUGGUCGAGCACACUGGAACUGAGACACGGUCCAGACUCCUACAGGAGGCAGCAGUAGGGAAUCUUCCGCGAUGGAGGAAAGCCUGACGGUGCAACGCCGCGUGAGUGAUGAAGGUCUUCGGAUCGUAAAACUCUGUAAUUAGGGGAGAACAAACGUGUAAGUAACUGUGCACGUCUUGACGGUACCUGGUCAGAAAGCCACGGCUAACUACGUG